rnacentral:tRNA from 1 species
GGGCCUGUGGCUCAGGGGCAGAGUACUCACCUCGCAUGUGUGAGGCCCUGAGUUCAAUCCUUAGUCCCA